rnacentral:rRNA from 1 species
CACAAAAUGACUCUCGGCAACGGAUAUCUCGGCUCUUGCAUCGAUGAAGAACGUAGCGAAAUGCGAUACUUGGUGUGAAUUGCAGAAUCCCGUGAACCAUCGAGUCUUUGAACGCAAGUUGCGCCCGAAGCCAUUAGGUCGAGGGCACGCCUGCCUGGGUGUCACA